AGGCCUUGACAUGCAGAGAACUUUCCAGAGAUGGAUUGGUGCCGUUCGGGAACUCUGACACAGGUGCUGCAUGGCUGUCGUCAGCUCGUGUCGUGAGAUGGUUGGGUUAACGUCCCGUAACGAGCGCCAACCCUUGUCCUUAGUUACCAGCACGUUAUGGUGGGCACUCUAAGGAGACUGCCGGUGACAACCGGAGGAAGGUGGGGAUGACGUCAAGUCAUCAUGGCCCUUACGGCCUGGGCUACACACGUGCUACAAUGGUCGGUACAAAGGGUUGCCAAGCCGCGAGGUGGAGCUAAUCCCAUAAAACCGAUCGUAGUCCGGAUCGCAGUCUGCAACUCGACUGCGUGAAGUCGGAAUCGCUAGUAAUCGUGAAUCAGAAUGUCACGGUGAAUACGUUCCCGGGCCUU
rnacentral:rRNA from 1 species